UACAGAGGUCUCAAGCGUUGUUCGGAUUCAUUGGGCGUAAAGGGCGCGUAGGCGGUGCGGUAAGUCACCUGUGAAAACUCUGGGCUCAACUCAGAGCCUGCAGGCGAAACUGCCGUGCUUGAGUGUGGGAGAGGUGCGUGGAAUUCCCGGUGUAGCGGUGAAAUGCGCAGAUAUCGGGAGGAACACCGGUGGCGAAGGCGGUUCUCUGGGCCUUACCUGACGCUGAGGAGCGAAAGCGUGGGGAGCGAACAGG
rnacentral:rRNA from 1 species